AGCGAACGCUGGCGGCAGGCUUAACACAUGCAAGUCGAGCGGGCACUUUCGGGUGUCAGCGGCGGACGGGUGCGUAACGCGUGGGAACGUGCCCUCUGGUUCGGAAUAACUCAGGGAAACUUGAGCUAAUACCGGAUACGCCCUUUUGGGGAAAGGCUUGCUGCCGGAGGAUCGGCCCGCGUCUGAUUAGAUAGUUGGUGAGGUAACGGCUCACCAAGGCGACGAUCAGUAGCUGGUCUGAGAGGAUGAUCAGCCACACUGGGACUGAGACACGGCCCAGACUCCUACGGGAGGCAGCAGUGGGGAAUAUUGGACAAUGGGCGCAAGCCUGAUCCAGCCAUGCCGCGUGAGUGAUGAAGGCCUUAGGGUUGUAAAGCUCUUUUAUCCGGGACGAUAAUGACGGUACCGGAGGAAUAAGCCCCGGCUAACUUCGUG
rnacentral:rRNA from 1 species